rnacentral:rRNA from 1 species
AGUGAACGCUGGCGGCGUGCUUAACACAUACAAGUCGAACGAUGAUGCUCUAGCUUGCUAGAGCGGAUUAGUGGCGCACGGGUGAGUAAUGUAUAGCUAAUGUGCCCCUUAGAGGGGGAUAACAGUUGGAAACGACUGCUAAUGCCCCAUACUCCUUCUUCCUAUAAGGGAAGUUGGUAAAGUUUUUUCGCUAAGGGAUCGGGCUAUCUGGUAUCAGCUUGUUGGUGAGGUAAUGGCUCACCAAGGCUAUGACGCCUAUCUGGUCUGAGAGGAUGAUGAGACACACUGGAACUGAGACACGGUCCAGACUCCUACGGGAGGCAGCAGUGGGGAAUAUUACACAAUGGAGGAAACUCUGAUGUAGCAACGCCGCGUGGAGGAUGACACAUUUCGGUGCGUAAACUCCUUUUAUGUGAGAAGAUAAUGACGGUAUCACAUGAAUAAGCACCGGCUAACUCCGUGCCAGCAGCCGCCGUAA